rnacentral:ncRNA from 1 species
ACCGUUCCGAAGUCGUAAAACUACGGAUAGAUUGAGGAGCAACCUCGUAAAAAAGCGUA